UACGUAUGGUGCAAGCGUUAUCCGGAUUUACUGGGUGUAAAGGGAGCGUAGACGGAGUGGCAAGUCUGAUGUGAAAACCCGGGGCUCAACCCCGGGACUGCAUUGGAAACUGUCAAUCUAGAGUACCGGAGAGGUAAGCGGAAUUCCUAGUGUAGCGGUGAAAUGCGUAGAUAUUAGGAGGAACACCAGUGGCGAAGGCGGCUUACUGGACGGUAACUGACGUUGAGGCUCGAAAGCGUGGGGAGCAAACAGGAUUAGAUACCCUGGUAGUCCACGCCGUAAACGAUGACUACUAGGUGUCGGGCAGCAAAGCUGUUCGGUGCCGCAGCAAACGCAAUAAGUAGUCCACCUGGGGAGUACGUUCGCAAGAAUGAA
rnacentral:rRNA from 1 species